rnacentral:sRNA from 2 species
GGUGCCAGUCGUUAGCUGAGGCUCCUUCGCGGAAACAAGCCAGCGACCCCGAACGUCCAGAGACGCCCCGGGUCAGGACAGGCUUCCCCGACCUAAGGGGUAGCCCCGAUUGGCUCCCGCCACUGCGGGUUGACGCCGCGAAGUGCCAAAAGUCUUACGAGGACGAGGAAC